GAAGAGAAGAGAAGAGCUUCUGCAAAAAGGGAGGAAGCGGUGGCAAGGCCUUCCUGUCUCUGUACCAUGCAGUGCUGCAGGAAGGUGAUGCUGAUUGGAGGAGAGGCGUAUCUCUCUCUAACUGGUGAAAUCCAGUUACCUGUGGGCACUUCCCAUGACAUGGACCAGAGCCAGGGCUGCAGAUGGGCUCGGUUGAGCGAUGGCUUUCUUGAUGCCCUCUUUAAAAUGGCCACUGUAAUGCGCCUUACGGCCGUCUGUCUUGCAAAUGGCGCUGGGCAGAAGAUAAAAGAUUGACGGAUGGCUGUCUAAUGGUGCUGCCUUCAGCUUUACUUUAUUCCUCUGCUGAUAGAGCCACUCAGCAGACCUGCGCUUUAUGACAGCGGGAGAGAAGUCUGCUCGUCUUCAGAGAGCAAGACCUCAGGCCGUCCGGCCAUUCCUGUUAGAGGAACAAAGGCCCUGGAGAGAGUGGUCCACCUCUUCCUGUCUGACUGCAGUGCUUCCUGUCUACCCGUGGUGUAAUGCAUUUACCACCUGUAACAGUAGGCCUGUCUGUACCACCCACAUACUCAGGGCUCCUGAAACAGUCAAACCAGAGGCUGCUGUUCCAUCGAGGGCUCCAGGGGCCACAGGCCUGUUUAACAGCACCAUCACUGGACGGACGUCUCUGUCGGAAUGGUACACUCUCCUUCCACUACAGCGCAGCUUGAUUCCCCUGAAGGUGGGCAUUAUUUCAGCAGGUAAUCGUCCCGAAGGUCAGCGGCGCCUGUGGCGGCGAGACUGUAGCGGCUGUUUGCGAGCGGGAGGACGACCGCGGCGCUGGAGGCGGGGUCAGCGCAGAGGGCGGGGUUUACCCCAGCAGAGCGCCUGCCCGCCAGCCAGCCAGCGCCGUCACUCAGGACGUUGUGGGUCAUGUGACUCGGCCGCACGGCUCCUCCCCUUAUCCGCCUCUGCGUCAGGAGGAAGAGCGGCAGCGGCAGAGGCUUCAGGAAACUGCACCGGCAUCCGGACGCUAAUACGCCAGUAAUGGAGAGAAUGAGUGAUCUUGUGUUUUUGUUACUGGGGUUGCCAUGCCAACAGCGAGCUGAGAUGUCUUACUGGUGAUUGCAGCCUGAUGCUCCUUUCCUUCCUGAUAAUUUUCUUUUAUCAGGAAGGAUAACACACACACACACGCGCGCACACACGCACACACACAAACAUGUUGGAACAGCAGAUUGGAACUGCCAUGACAGACGGACUGCACAGCACCCACACACUCCCUAAUCUUUCGCCACCUGAUAGGCUUUUGCUGUGUUGCUUCCCUUUGUCAUAAUGUAUUCCAAAAGUGUGACACCUCACCCUUAAAAAAAACGUUUCAUCGCUGUAUGGGUUGCACAAGGUUUUGGUCCGAGGUGAAUGUUCUCUCUAGCUGGCCAGUCAAGGGCUUCAGUGGUAGAGGGUUUGUGUAAGUUUUAAAAUAAGUUAUUCUUUUUGGCAAACCAUCAGGUAAGCCUAUGCCAAGCAGUAAGCCUCACAAAAAAAAUUAUACAUUUUUUUUAAACUGCAAAUAUGAGUGGACUGUGAGUGCCAAACACUUUAUCAAAUGGAUGAUGCACCAUGCAAAUUAAACAUUGGGAAAUGUGUUCAUUGUGUCACUGCUAUAGAACUUAUGGCAAAACUAGCCCCCAUUAGCUUUUUUCUAUCUAAACAGUUUAAUAUUUACUUUAAUAUUUUUAAUUUCAACAAUUGAUAACCUCAAUAAGGCCUUUAGUUUGGCGUU